GUCGAGCGAGGCGGGUAGCAAUACCCAGUCGAGCGGCGAACGGGUGAGAAACACGUGGAUAACCUGCCCUGAGGUGGGGGAUAACCCGGGGAAACUCGGGCUAAUACCGCAUGAUACCGAGAGGUCAAAGGGGGCUCGCAAGAGCUCUCGCCAUAGGAGGGGUCCGCGUCCGAUUGGCUAGUUGGUAGGGUAACGGCCUACCAAGGCGACGAUCGGUAGCCGGCCUGAGAGGGUGAUCGGCCACACUGGAACUGAGACACGGUCCAGACUCCUACGGGAGGCAGCAGUGGGGAAUUUUGCGCAAUGGGCUAACGCCUGACGCAGCAACGCCGCGUGGAGGAUGAAGGUCUUUGGAUUGUAAACUCCUGUCAGCAGGGAAAAAGCGAAUUGGCCUAAUACGCCAGUGAGUUGAUUGUACCUGCAGAGGAAGCCCCGGCUAACUCUGUGCCAGCAGCCGCGGUAAUACAGAGGGGGCAAGCGUUAUUCGGAAUUAUUGGGCGUAAAGGGCGCGUAGGCGGCUUGGCAAGUGGAUGGUGAAAUCCCUCGGCUUAACCGAGGAACUGCCGUCCAAACUGCUUUGCUUGAGGCCGGGAGAGGCGAGUGGAAUUCCCAGUGUAGCGGUGAAAUGCGUAGAUAUUGGGAGGAACACCAGUGGCGAAGGCGGCUCGCUGGACCGGUUCUGACGCUGAGGCGCGAAAGCGUGGGGAGCAAACGGGAUUAGAUACCCCGGUAGUCCACGCUGUAAACGAUGAGUGC
rnacentral:rRNA from 1 species